UGCCUUUCAGAGGGGGAUAACGGCUGGAAACGGUCGCUAAUACCGCAUGAUGUGUUCGGAUGGCAUCAUCUGAACAUCAAAGAUUUAUCGCUGAAAGAUGGGCUCGCGUCUGAUUAGAUAGUUGGUGGGGUAACGGCCUACCAAGUCUACGAUCAGUAGCCGGACUGGGAGGUUGAACGGCCACAUUGGGACUGAGAUACGGCCCAGACUCCUACGGGAGGCAGCAGUGGGGAAUAUUGCACAAUGGGGGAAACCCUGAUGCAGCAACGCCGCGUGAAGGAUGACGGUUUUCGGAUUGUAAACUUCUUUUCUUAGUGACGAAGACAGUGACGGUAGCUAAGGAAUAAGCAUCGGCUAACUACGUGCCAGCAGCCGCGGUAAUACGUAGGAUGCAAGCGUUAUCCGGAUUUACUGGGUGUAAAGGGAGCGCAGGCGGGACUGCAAGUUGGAUGUGAAAUACCGUGGCUUAACCACGGAACUGCAUCCAAAACUGUAGUUCUUGAGUGAAGUAGAGGCAAGCGGAAUUCCGAGUGUAGCGGUGAAAUGCGUAGAUAUUCGGAGGAACACCAGUGGCGAAGGCGGCUUGCUGGGCUUUAACUGACGCUGAGGCUCGAAAGUGUGGGGAGCAAACAGGAUUAGAUACCCUGGUAGUCCACACUGUAAACGAUGAUAGCUAGGUGUGGGGGGUCUGACCCCUUCCGUGCCGGAG
rnacentral:rRNA from 1 species